rnacentral:rRNA from 1 species
AUGGUCGAAGGUGACGGAUCCGGCUUGCCAUUGGUCCUGAGUGAUAUCAUCCACAAGGCGGUCAUCGAGGUAAACGAGGAAGGCACUGAAGCUGCAGCCUGAGUGAUGUUGUGCAAUGCCGCCUCGCCACCUCCUCCGGUGGAUUUUGUAGCUGACCAUCUGUUUGCGUACUUUAUAGUGGAGGAGGCGACCGGCAUAGUUGUCUUUGCGGGACACGUCCUUGACCCUUCUAAUGAGGACUAG